GCCCCGAUAGCUCAGCGGAUAGAGCGUCUGCCUCCGGAGCAGAAGGUCGCAGGUUCGAGUCCUGUUCGGGGCG
rfam:Actinomyces sp. S4-C9 contig01, whole genome shotgun sequence.